rnacentral:rRNA from 1 species
AUUGAACGCUGGCGGCAGGCCUAACACAUGCAAGUCGAGCGGAUGAAGUGAGCUUGCUCCUGGAUUCAGCGGCCGACGGGUGAGUAAUGCCUAGGAAUCUGCCUGGUAGUGGUGGAUAACGUCCGGAAACGGGCGCUAAUACCGCAUACGUCCUGAGGGAGAAAGUUGGGGAUCUUCGGACCUCACGCUAUCAGAUGAGCCUAGGUCGGAUUAGCUAGUUGGUGGGGUAAAGGCCUACCAAGGCGACGAUCCGUAACUGGUCUGAGAGGAUGAUCAGUCACACUAGAACUGAGACACGGUCCAGACUCCUACGGGAGGCAGCAGUGGGGAAUAUUGGACAAUGGGCGAAAGCCUGAUCCAGCCAUGCCGAGUGUGUGAAGAAGGUCUUCGGAUUGUAAAGCACUUUAAGUUGGGAGGAAGGGCAGUAAGUUAAUACCUUGCUGAUUUGACGUUACCAACAGAAUAAGCACCGGCUAACUUCGUG